rnacentral:rRNA from 1 species
UACAGAGGUCCCAAGCGUUGUUCGGAUUCACUGGGCGUAAAGGGUGCGUAGGCGGUCGGAUAAGUCUGAUGUGAAAUCUUCGAGCUCAACUCGGAAACUGCAUCGGAAACUAUUCGGCUAGAGGAUUGGAGGGGAGACUGGAAUUCUCGGUGUAGCAGUGAAAUGCGUAGAUAUCGGGAGGAACACCAGUGGCGAAGGCGACUACCUGGCCUGUUCUUGACGCUGAGGCGCGAAAGCUAGGGGAGCAAACGGG